ensembl:ncRNA T28D9.14 ncRNA
CCACCACCACGACGACGCAUUCCCACAUCCGUUUUUUUCGAAUCUUUGUCACAAAUUGGUUGGUGACAGGAGCGACCCAUCGAAAAAAAAGUAGGAAAUAGAGAGGUCACCUGGUUUGAAACU